UAAUUCCAGGACCCGAAGUGGAUAUCCUGCUAACGCUGCAGCUGUCUAAGAGGAUUUCAUCCACGGUUUCAAAGAUGAAUAUUAAAACCCAAAGGCAGAGUGGAGUUAAAAUUUUAACAUGAAGAUGUCAAAUUUGCUUCGGCCAAGCCACCAGAUCAUCCCCCGUGUGGUUAUAGACCUUCUGUCAAGUUAUCCUCCAUCAUGCGACCAGUGAGUUGAUAAUAAACUAAAUAAACUAAAACUCAAACCUGA